GUAUUGCAAAAUUAAAACGAGCUUCUCAUAUGAUCAGAAUUAACUUUUGGAUAUUGUUAACCUGUGUAAUCACUUGGUUGAUGAGAAAUGUAUAUACAUUUUUUAGAGGACAAAAACUGGAAGGACUCUUCAGUGUUCUGAAAGCAGAAGUAGACCUGAGCGAUUGUGGAAACCUCAGCAGUAGGGAGCAAAUAUAUCAAGGCAAUAGAAGCCUAAGAGGACAGUAUGGGCAGCCCUAGUGUAGGGACAUGGGGCCCUUCAAUUCUUUUUCAUUCAACAAACAACUUCUGAGUAGAGUUAGGUAAGAAAUAAGAGAGUCCUGAGAGUAUGGUAGGUCUGGCUCUGAUAAUGUAGAUCUGGUGUCUAUUUCACUCCUUACAUGGCUCAAAUCCAUGCAGAAGCUCUGGGCCCCAGGUCAGAGCCUGGGUUGCUGAUAUCUGGACCUAUGCACCAUGCCACCGAAGCUGCCAUUGCUGACCUACCUUUGAUCCAUUUUUGUGUCCUGGUGUUGCCCAGCAUUGGCAGAGGGACAGAGCAGCACAGUGAGAGUAGGGACUGGCUCUAUGCUUCCUUACUGAAACUUUCCAUUCUCUUACCUCCAGGCUAUUGACUGGAGAAAAUGAUGCAACUGUGUGCCAGUGACCUUUUGCAUGGAACCUGCUAUGCAAUUUCUACUAGUUUCUAAGUCUUUUAACAGCUGACUUGCCAACACCCCCCAGCAAUAACCAUAGCAGCUGUUCUGAAUCUCUGCUCUACUCAGCCAUUUAAUAUCUUCCCUGCCCCUGCCAUGGCAGAAGAUGCUCAGAAUUCUCUGAAAAAUAAAGCUAGGUUAUCCAGCAUCAGAGAUAUAAUCAUCCUGUUUCCUCCUCCCACUCUUUCUAUUUUGCUUAUAUGUUUGUCUUCCCAGUUGAACCACUUCAAAACCCAAACUACUGGAAGAUGGCAUGGUAGGAGCAACUCAGGAUUGCAGCUCUCUGUGAAGGGGCAGAGGGGUCUCCGUUGCUCGUCCCAUGGGUCGGGACAAACUGGCGCCCAACGUGAGAGCUCGAGUCUGAGGGACACGGUGAGGGAUGCCGUAGAGGUCAGCCGGCACAGAAGGAUUAAGAAACCCAGAGGAAAGAGCGUCGUGAGAACCUGCCACAGACUCAUGCUCUGAAACAUGUGGACCUUAAUAUUGAUAUCCCUAAUAAUCACUCUCAUACCUAAGACUGACAGCGGAUUCAGAUCACAAUAUGAUGUAAGAUCAACUUGACUCCCUAUCCGAAGUAGUCCUGCAAAACCGACGAGGCCUAGAUCUGCUCACCGCCCAGAAAGGAGGACUGUGCCUUGCAUUAGAUAAAAAAUGCUACGUUUAUGCUAACCAUUCUGAUGUUGUCAGAGAUAGGAUAAAAGCCCUGCAAGAAGACCUGGCAAAAAAGAAGAAAAGCUCUCUUCAAUAAUCCAUUGUGGGGAGGGUUGAAUGGGUUCCUCCUCUAUAUGCUCCCCCUCCUCGGCCCUUUUGUCAUUUUCCUCCUACUCCUCACUGUUGGACCUCUUAUAUUCAACAAGGUCAUGGCUUUUGUUAAACAACAGAUUGACUCCAUAAAAAUGCAGCCCCUACAGGGCCAUUACCAUAAGAUGGAAAUGGCCGACAGGGAAAUGGAGUUGGAUCAAGGCUACGGUAGAAGCUUGAUAAGCACCAUCAACCGUUUCUGACAUCGCCUGAUGAGCUGGACCAGUUAGCCAAUGACGGGCAACCUGAGAGCCUAGCAGUAAGAUGCUCCCGCCUAAGACAGGGGACUGGGUUAUGAAUCCCGCUCACCCUAUGAUGGGUAAGGGUAAAAAGCAUCACUGCAGGUGUAUCUCUUGACCUAAGACAGGCAUGGUCCCCACAGGCAAUCGGCCACACAAAAAUUAAAUUAAAAAGGGGAACCUGUGGGGAGCAGUAGCCAUCUUGUAACUAUGUUGCUUAAGCUUUUGUUCCUCUUACCUAAACCUCCAUCUUGUGGGCUUCCCUUAUUGUUUAAGUUUCACAUUCCUCCUAGUUACAAGGCUAGCCUGCAGCCUCGUCUCCAUGGUUACUCUCUGACCUCAGCCCUCAGAACUUCCCGCCCUUACUUGUUUAUAAGCAACCGCCUUGUAGCUAAUAAACGAGACUUGAUCAGAUCCUUGACUUGUCUC
rnacentral:lncRNA from 13 species